rnacentral:rRNA from 1 species
AACUUAAGCAUAUCAAUAAGCGGAGGAAAAGAAACCAACAGGGAUUACCUCAGUAACGGCGAGUGAAGCGGUAACAGCUCAAAUUUGAAAGCUAGCUCUUUUAGGGUUCGCAUUGUAAUUUGUAGAAGAUGCUUCGGGUGUGGCCCCGGUCUAAGUUCCUUGGAACAGGACGUCAUAGAGGGUGAGAAUCCCGUAUGUGACUGGGUGCUUUCGCUCAUGUGAAGCUCUUUCGACGAGUCGAGUUGUUUGGGAAUGCAGCUCAAAAUGGGUGGUAAAUUUCAUCUAAAGCUAAAUAUUGGCCAGAGACCGAUAGCGCACAAGUAGAGUGAUCGAAAGAUGAAAAGCACUUUGGAAAGAGAGUUAAACAGUACGUGAAAUUGUUGAAAGGGAAGCGCUUGCAACCAGACUUGCGCGCUGAUGAUCAUCCGGGCUUCUGUCCGGUGCACUCGUCUGCGCUCAGGCCAGCAUCGGUUUCGGUGGUGGGAUAAAGGCCUUGGGAAUGUAGCUCCUCUCGGGGAGUGUUAUAGCCCUCGGUGCAAUGCCGCCUAUCGGGACCGAGGACCGCGCUUCGGCUAGGAUGCUGGCGUAAUGGUUGUAAGCGACCCGUCUUGAAACACGGACCAAGGAGUCUAACAUCUAUGCGAGUGUUUGGGUGUCAAACCCAUACGCGUAAUGAAAGUGAACGGAGGUGAGAACCCUUAAGGGUGCAUCAUCGACCGGUCCUGAUGUCUUCGGAUGGAUCUGAGUAAGAGCAUAGCUGUUGGGACCCGAAAGAUGGUGAACUAUGCGUGAAUAGGGUGAAGCCAGAGGAAACUCUGGUGGAGGCUCGCAGCGGUUCUGACGUGCAAAUCGAUCGUCAAAUUUGCGUAUAGGGGCGAAAGACUAAUCGAACCAU